UUUUUGGUGGCCGAGGCGUAGGCAACAGUCUUUUAAUCUGUGUACGGAGUGGUCUCCCCAUGCGU
rnacentral:tRNA from 1 species